GAUGAACGCUAGCGACAGGCCUAACACAUGCAAGUCGAGGGGCAGCACGGUGUAGCAAUACACGGGUGGCGACCGGCGUACGGGUGAGUAACGCGUAUGCAACCUGCCUACUACAAGGGGAUAACCCGUUGAAAGACGGACUAAUACCCUAUAACACAGGGAAUCCGCAUGGAUAUAUUUGUUAAAGAUUUAUCGGUAGUAGAUGGGCAUGCGUUCCAUUAGCUUGUUGGUGAGGUAACGGCUCACCAAGGCAACGAUGGAUAGGGGAACUGAGAGGUUGAUCCCCCACACUGGAACUGAGACACGGUCCAGACUCCUACGGGAGGCAGCAGUGAGGAAUAUUGGUCAAUGGACGAGAGUCUGAACCAGCCAAGUCGCGUGAAGGAAGACGGCCCUACGGGUUGUAAACUUCUUUUGUAAGGGAAUAAAUAGUCUUACGAGCUAAGACGUUGCAGGUACCUUACGAAUAAGGAUCGGCUAACUCCGUGCCAGCAGCCGCGGUAAUACGGAGGAUCCGAGCGUUAUCCGGAUUUAUUGGGUUUAAAGGGUGCGCAGGCGGCAUGUUAAGUCGGCGGUGAAAUUUUGCAGCUCAACUGUAAAAGAGCCUUCGAAACUGGCAAGCUUGAGUGUGGAUGAAGUAGGCGGAAUUUGUGGUGUAGCGGUGAAAUGCAUAGAUAUCACAAAGAACACCGAUUGCGCAGGCAGCUUACUAAACCAUAACUGACGCUCAUGCACGAAGGCGUGGGGAUCAAACAGGAUUAGAUACCCUGGUAGUCCACGCAGUAAACGAUGAUUGCUAGGUGUAGGUGGGUAUGGACCCAUCGGUGCCGCCGCUAACGCAAUAAGUAUUCCACCUGGGGAGUACGUUCGCAAGAAUGAAACUCAAAGGAAUUGACGGGGACCCGCACAAGCGGUGGAGCAUGUGGUUUAAUUCGAUGCAACGCGAAGAACCUUACCAGGACUUGACAUCCCAGGGACCUGGCGUAAUGGCCGGGGUGCCCCUUUUGGGGAACCUGGAGACAGGUGGUGCAUGGUUGUCGUCAGCUCGUGUCGUGAGAUGUUGGGUUAAGUCCCGCAACGAGCGCAACCCUUACUGUCAGUUGCUACGCAAGAGCACUCUGACGGGACUGCCGUUGACAAAACGGAGGAAGGUGGGGAUGACGUCAAAUCAUCAUGCCCCUUACGUCCUGGGCUACACACGUACUACAAUGGCGAGAACAAAGGGGAGCGAAGCCGCGAGGCGGAGCAAAUCCCAAAAAAAUCGUCCCAGUUCAGAUUGCAGGCUGCAACCCGCCUGCAUGAAGUCGGAAUUGCUAGUAAUCGCGGAUCAGCAUGCCGCGGUGAAUACGUUCCCGGGCUUUGUACACACCGCCCGUCACACCAUGGGAGUCGGUAACACCCGAAGCCGGUUGCCUAACCGCAAGGAGGGCGCCGUCGAAGGUGGGAUUGAUGACUGGGGUU
rnacentral:rRNA from 1 species